rnacentral:rRNA from 1 species
UAGGGAAUAUUGCACAAUGGGCGAAAGCCUGAUGCAGCAACGCCGCGUGCGCGAUGAAGGCCUUCGGGUUGUAAAGCGCUUCUCGGGGAGACGAGGAAGGACGGUAUCCCCGGAAUAAGGAUCGGCUAACUACGUGCCAGCAGCCGCGGUAAAACGUAGGAUCCGAGCGUUAUCCGAAUUCACUGGGCGUAAAGCGCGAGCAGGCGGUACGAUAAGUUGGGUGUAAAAUCUCCUGGCUCAACUGGGAGAGGACGUUCAAUACUGUCGAACUAGAGGGCGGUAGAGGGAGGUGGAAUUCCCGGUGUAGUGGUGAAAUGCGUAGAUAUCGGGAGGAACACCAGUGGCGAAAGCGGCCUCCUGGACCGUGCCUGACGCUGAGAUGCGAAAGCUAGGGGAGCGAACGG